UACGUAGGGGGCAAGCGUUGUCCGGAGUUACUGGGCGUAAAGCGCACGCAGGCGGUCGCGUAAGAGUGCGGGGACAGUGGGCGGCCUAACUGCCCAAGGGUCGCACAGACUGCGUGACUGGAGGGCCAGAGAGGGACCUGGAAUUCCGGGUGGAGCGGUGAAAUGCGUAGAGAUCCGGAGGAACACCAAUGGCGAAGGCAGGGUCCUGGCUGGCACCUGACGCUCAUGUGCGAAAGCCAGGGGAGCGAACGGG
rnacentral:rRNA from 1 species